AAAAUGGAAAAUGGGAAAAGGUCGCGGAUCUACAACAACAGCCCGUAACAAGACAGCAGAAGAUAUAAUCGUCGAUGAACCCGAGAUGGCUAAUGCUAGCGCAAAUAAGAUGGCAGCAGCAAAAUAACCCUCAUUUCGUGAGGCGCUCACAGGCUUACGAGAGGAACUUCGAGAAGAUGUAAGAGCGGAACUAAGUGAGUUCAAGAAAGACAUUAACCAGAAACUUGAAGAAAACUAAUUAGAACUUCACAGCAUAUCUACAACGGGACGCAGAACAGCGCAUUGGGGAAACGGAUACAUGGAACUCCGCAGUCAAGGGAAUACUUGAACAGUCACUGAAAAACCAACACGCACUACAGGCAAAAGUGACAGAACUCGAAGGUUUCUCACGUCGAAACAACAUUAAACUUUAUAAUGUAGUAGGGGGCACAGAAAAAGGCUCUAUGCCCAAAUUCGUGGAGGGUCUAUUCAAAGACAUACUUGAAGAUGACACUGACCUGGGAAUUGAGAGAGCACACCGAGCUCUGGCCCCAAAAAUCCCCAGCGGCACCCCACCAAGAUCAAUAGUAGUACGGUUCCUAAAAUGCUCAGUCAAAGAGAAAGUCUUACAUGCAACCUGGAAAAAGCCUGUUAGCUUUCAAGGCCAACGAGUGUUCUUUGAUCAUGACUACGCGGGAGAGAUACUAAAAAGGAAAGAAUACACCCCCAUUAAGAAAGCACUUAAAGAGAAGGGUAUACGCUUCCAAACACCAUUCCCGGCAAAAAUUCGGGUAUUUCUGGAAAAUGACCCGGUUACAUACGAGCACGCAGACGAGGCAGCUGAGGAUCUGAAGUCGAGGGGCAUCCCAGUGGAGUAUACCGCCAGGAGAAAGGCGACAUCACCGGCGGAAAGACUCGAGCAGGCUCUCCCAUGGAUCGUUAUCGACAAGCAAAGCCAUGGAGAAAGAGGGAAACCACCUCGGCGAGAGGACGUUCACAUCCGAGAGAGACUCAGGCAUUUCCAACGGGAAGAUGGAAGACACUGAAUCGGAUUUAACAGAAUUAAUAGUUACCGCGAGCUGUUAAGACGUUGGGUUGUUAUGGUUGACAUUGCAAUAGGUCUUGUUUGUGACGACGUCACGCAUUUUCAUAUCUGAGCGAUGGGCCCCUCCUGCGGACAGGCUCAUCCCCUCAAACCCCAGAGGCAAGAGACAGUCCUCUGACAUGGGAGUCCAAAUACCAAAGUAUUUUACUUUAUCGUUCUUGAUUUUUCGUUCAUUUUUAGGCUCAAGAUAAGCAGGCAGAUAUGAUGCACAGUUUUUUUUUAUAUCGUUGCAUCAUCGGGAAUUUAAGGUCAUAAGUCUCAAUGUAAACUGACUAGGGAGUGCCAUCAAGAGAAGGUAAUAGCAAAGAUGAAACGGGAGCAAGUUGACAUACUAUUCUGGCAGGAAACUCACUUAUCCACACCUGAACACGAGAAACUGAAGAAAAUGGGAUAUAGGAAUACUUUUUUUUUCUUCUGACAAAAUGGGUAGAAGGGGAGUUGCAAUCUUGAUCCCAAAUUCAGUUAAUUUUGAGUUUGUCAGAAAUAAAAGACAAGGAUGGUAGAUUUAUAGUUGUUAAAUGUAAACUGGAUAACAAGGAAGUUACAUUAUUUAAUGUAUACGCACCCCCAGGGAGGGACAUGGUCUUCUACGGGAUGGUGUUUGAUUUAAUUGCCACAGAAACCACUUAUCUGUGGAGGGGAUUUUAACACAAUUUUAAACUCAAAAUUGGACAGCACAAAUCAAAAUAGGAAAAUUAGUCUAGUUGCUAAAAAGAUCAAUAUGAUAUUGCAGGAUCUAGGAGUGCUCGAUGUAUGGCGUGACACCCACAAGACCGAUAAGGAAUAUACUUUUUACUCAGCCCGCCGCACUGAAUACUCCAGGUUAGACUAUUUUUUCAUGUACAAUGCAGAUAGACACAGGCUUAAGGAUUGUAGGAUUGGACAGAGCGACUUAUCAGAUCAUAAUGGAGUUUACCUUACUCUACACCUUGAUAGCAAACCAAGAAAAACUUUAUGGAGACUUAAUACAAGCAUGCUGAAUGAUCCAGCAUUCAAGGAAUCAAUAAAGACAGAAUUGAACAUCUAUCUGGAGAAUAACGAUAACGGGGAAGUAUCUCCUGCUACAUUGUGGGAUGCAGCUAAGGCGGUUAUUAGAGGAAAGAUCAUAGCCACAUCUCUCAAGAAAAAGAUUAAAGCACAGAAACUGCUGAAAUUACAGGAAACACUAAGAAACUUAGAACGAUCUCAUAGUCAAUACAAAGAUCCUCUUAUAUUACGAGAGAUUCAAAAGCUAAAACAGGAAAUUGACCAGAUUUAUAGAGAAGAAGUAGAGAAAAAGCUCAGGUUCCUGAAACAACGAUAUUAUGAAGCAGGCUCAAAGGCAACCAAAUUACUAGCAUGGAGACUGAGGAAACAACAAGCACAGAAUACCAUUUUCAAAAUAAAAAGACCCCAAAACAAAGAUCAAAUGCAAAUGAGAUGAAAUACAGAAUGCAUUUGAAUCAUAUUACACAAAUCUGUACAAGCAACCAGAGAAGGCAGAUGCACAGACAAUAGAGCAUUUUUUGAACUCACUUGAUCUCCCCUCAAUUUGGACAGAGCAAAAUGAUAGACUGACUUUAGAAAUAUCCACCGAAGAAAUUAAUAAAGCAAUAUCUCAACUAAAAGUAAACAAGUCUCCAGGCACUGAUGGCUUCUCUUCAAAAUGGUUCAAGACCUUCAGAGAACAACUAACACCUCUACUUAAGGCCUGUUUUAACUGGAAUGUGCGGGAGGGGGGGGGUCUCCCACCGUCAUGGAGAGAGGCCAUCAUAUCUGUAAUCCCAAAAGAGGGUAAAGAUAAGAAUGAAUGCAGUUCAUAUAGACCUAUCGCUGUCACGUUGUUAAAAAUAGCAGGAGACGGGUGAGUCAAACGCAGGAGACUGAGAUCCGUAUAAGAGACGUAUUUAAUAAAGUCCAAAGGAAUCUCAACGACAAGACAGGGUAAAAAUAAUCCACAGAACUGAAGGAGAACAGCUCCAAAAUCCAAUACACGGGGCGCAGCCCGGCAACCCUAAUGCCUAUCCAAAAUGCGUUGUGAAAACCGAACAAUACAAAAAAAAAAACAAUCCUGACUACGUACAACGUUACAUGAAAACAAUCCCGCACAAAUCCCAAACAACAAACCGACAAACUAAAUACACCCCCACUAAUUACUAACAAGGAACAGGUGCGUACAAAUACAGACAUAACCAACAGACACUGAAAUAUCGAUCGGUGGCAGGUAGUAGGCCGGCGAUGACGACCGCCAAGCGCCGCCCGACCGGGGAGGAGCACCACCUUCUGUGGACGUUGUGACAAUCGCAAUUCUUAACACGGAUUAUAAACUAUAUGCAUCAAUAAUAGCCAAAAGAAUGGAGAACAUAAUCCCAGAAUUGAUUGACGGAGAUCAAACUGGUUUCAUACAAAAUAGGCAGACUGUCACAAGAUGUGGCUCAAGGAAGCAGGAGAGGUAGAGUCAAGCGCAGGAGACAGAUGAUUCCGUGAAUACUUCUUUAAUAUAUCCACACGAAAAAAUACAAGCACGGUCGGGCAGAGCGUAUAAAUAAAACGCACCACCCUCUCCAAACAUAAUGCAGGGACGCAGCCCAAUAUAAACUCUGCGUAAACCACGGGCAGAGAAAAAACACAGACCCUCAAUACCAAACAAGAGCCCUGACAAAAAAACAAUCCCGCACAAAACACAAACCUACCUAGCUAGCCUAAAUACCCCCCCCUACUAACAACUAAUACAAAACAGGUGCGUGCCUAUCCUAGACCUAACUAACGGAACGUAAAAACAGGAUCGGUGGCAGCUAGUAGGCCGGCGACGACGACCACCGAACGCCGCCCGGGCGAGGAGGGGCGCCACCUUCCGUAGGUGUCGUGACACAGACACAGGACAAUAUAAGGAGAACACUGCAUGUCAUGGACCACAUUACUCAGAAUAAGACAAGUGCAAUAUUAAUCAGUCUAGAUGCAGAAAAAGCAUUUGAUUCAGUGGGAUGGGAUUACCUAUUCCAAGUUAUGGAAAGAUUUGGUUUCAACAAAGAAGUGAUUCAGUGCAUCAAAACACUGUAUUCAUGUCCGACUGAUAGAAUAAAGAUAAAUGGACAUUUGUCACGAACGAUAACAUUUGUGGGAGGGGCAAGACAAGGCUGUAAUCUUUCACCCACGCUCUUCUCCUUGUUACUCGAACCAUUAGCACAGGCAAUAAGACAGGACCCAACCUUAGAGGGAAUAACAAUAAGAGGCAGUGAACAUAAGAUAUGCAUGUAUGCUGAUGACGUUCUGUUAUUCUUUAAAGACCCAGGCUCAAGUGUACCUAGAUUGAUGGAUGUUUUACAAACAUUUGGAACAUAUUCAGGGUAUGUGCUUAAUGUACUCAAGACCCAAGCCCUAGUAUAUAAUUAUAACCCACAGGAAGAGCUGAAGAGUAGGUAUAACUUCCACUGGACUUCUUCAUCCAUUAAAUAUCUUGGAGUAUAUCUACCAAAAGAUUUAUUGCAUGAAUUACGAUCACAUCAACAAGAAAAUAAAUGAUCACCUAGACAGGUGGAAUUCACUUCCCUUAGAUCUUAGUAGUAGAAUUGAAACAAUCAAAAUGACCAUCCUGCCGAGGUUACUGUAUUUGUUCCAAUCACUGCCCAUAGAAAUCCCACCUAAACAGUUUAGAGAAUGGGAUAAACGGAUACCAAGGUUUAUCUGGAACAGUAGGAGACCAAUAAUUAGAUAUACAACAUUACAAAUACCAAAAAACUGUGGGGGUAUGGCCUUACCAAACCUAAAAGAUUAUUAUGUGUCAACCCAAUUGAGACCUCUGGUGUGUUGGUGCAAUUCAGAAUACGAAUCCAAAUGGAAAGACAUUGAGACUACUUUGACAGAGACACCCAUACAGACAGUUUUGGGAAAUAAGGACAUGGUAAUAGAAAUAUACAGUAGACAGAAUCAGUGGAUUAAUUUCUCUCUGAAGACAUGGUUUAGGGUAGUUAAGCAAAAUAAAUUAGACAGAGAGAUCAAACUGCUGAGUUGGCCCGCAUACGACCCCAGCUUCAUCCUUUCAACUCAGGACAGCAGAUUUAAACAAUGGACGCAGAAAGGCAUCACAUCAUUCAGUACAAUUAUAAGGAAUGGGGACCUAGAUAACUUCCAGGACCUAAGUAAAAAACAUUGCUUGGAUAAACAAGAUUUUUACAGAUACCUACAAGUUUGACACUAUUUCUUAAGGGAGACAAAAGUGACUGACCCUCGAGCACCUCCAAAAUUAAUCCAAGUAUUCACUAACGCAUACAACUUGGGGAGUAACAAAAAAACGAUCUCAAAUCUCUACUUGGGUAUUCAAUCCUCAGAGAAACAUUCUACAAACUAUAUUAAAAAGAAAUGGGAGGAGGAACUUAACAUGAAAUAACUGAUGAAACAUGGUUGAACAUAUUAGAGACUCAACAAAGCGCCACCAACUCAAGGUCAUGGAGAGAAUUCUGUUGGAAGAAUGUUGUAUGUUUCUUCAUAACACCUAAACUGAAAUCAAAACAGACUGGCUCCCUACAUCCUUGUUGGAGAGAAUGCAGCCUAUUGAGGGUGGAUCACUCUCAUAUCUUUUGGACUUGCCCCGCAAUUGAAACCUACUGGGGAGAAAUAAGAUCUAACAUUGGAAAAAUAAUGGGAUUUGACAUAGAACAAACAAUCAUUUCUUUGUACUUGGGUGAAAUACCUGAUAACUUACACAAUAGAGAAAAGUACCUCUUGAAGGUCCUACUGGCAGCCAAUAAAAAGGCUAUCACUUGGAAAUGGCUACAAAAAGACCCUCCCACAGUGACUCAAUGGAUAGAUAUUGUAAAAGAAAUACACCACAUGGAGCAUAUGACCUUUGCUUUAAGAACAAAAGAGGAGAGAGGUCAGGAAUACUGGGAAAAAUGGGUUUCGUACUUGGAAAAGGUCUAAUUCAAAGAUGUCAAUGUAACUAAUAUGAUGAAGGUAUGAUGUGCACUAUAACUGCCAGAUCUUUUAUGUUGUUCUAUUAUUUUACUUUAUUUGUACUUUCUUUGUGUUCCUACAAUAAAAACAAAGUAUAACAUUUUUUUAAAGAAUGUGAAAUGACA